rnacentral:rRNA from 1 species
UACGAAGGGCGCGAACGUUAUUCGGAAUCAUUGGGCGUCAAGGGUGUGUAGGCGGCAUGAUAAGUCAAUUGUUAAAGAUCCCGGCCUAACUGGGGAAAAGCAGUAGAUACUAUCUGUGCUAGAGGGUGGAAGAGAGAAGUGGAAUUCUUGGAGUAGCGGUAAAAUGCGUAGAUCUCAAGAGGAACACCGAUGGCGAAGGCAGCUUCUUGGUCCAUUCCUGACGCUAAUGCACGAAAGCGUGGGGAGCAAACAGG